AGUUUGCAGCCUGUGAAGGUUUUCAGGCUUCCCCAGUGGCAUAGUGGUAUUUGCACCUUUGCUGUUUCAGUGUGUCGUCGUUGAGUCCUAUGGAUCAGUGCCUCUGUAUGGAUCCCCUGGAGCAGCCUCUUGUUCCUUUAACAUUCCAGGUACAUCCACGCCAGCUCCUUCCUGUCGCUCUCCUUGUGUGGCGCUGAUUGACAAGCGUCCGCUUCUCUCAGGCGCGUAAUCAAUCUGCUAAUUGGUGUCGGAGGGUCGGUUGCUGUUGAAGCGUCCCCCGCUCUUUCUUUGGCUAAUUUAUCUUUGUCACCGCCAGAAUCACAAGAUUGCUUCCACUGCCACUCAGGUGCCGAAGUGACGUGAGGAAAGGAUGGCGAGCGUUCCAACCCCCGACUCCACGCUCGCCAUACGACAAGAACCACGGCUGCACGAUGAUCAUUGACCCUCAUUGAAGUUGUUUCUCUUCCUCCUUUUUCAUUCCUAUUUUUUUUUUU